rnacentral:rRNA from 1 species
AAAACUUUCAACAACGGAUCUCUUGGCUCUGGCAUCGAUGAAGAACGCAGCGAAAUGCGAUAAGUAAUGUGAAUUGCAGAAUUCAGUGAAUCAUCGAAUCUUUGAACGCACAUUGCGCCCGCCAGUAUUCUGGCGGGCAUGCCUGUUCGAGCGUCAUUACAACCCUCAGGCCCCCGGGCCUGGCGUUGGGGAUCGGCGGAAGCCCCCUGCGGGCACAACGCCGUCCCCCAAAUACAGUGGCGGUCCCGCCGCAGCUUCCAUUGCGUAGUAGCUAACACCUCGCAACUGGAGAGCGGCGCGGCCACGCCGUAAAACACCCAACUUCUGAAUGUUGACCUCGAAUCAGGUAGGAAUACCCGCUGAACUUAAGCAUAUCAAUAAGCGGAGGAAAAGAAACCAACAGGGAUUGCCCCAGUAACGGCGAGUGAAGCGGCAACAGCUCAAAUUUGAAAUCUGGCUCUCGGGCCCGAGUUGUAAUUUGUAGAGGAUGCUUUUGGUGAGGUGCCUUCCGAGUUCCCUGGAACGGGACGCCAUAGAGGGUGAGAGCCCCGUCUGGUUGGACACCGAUCCUCUGUAAAGCUCCUUCGACGAGUCGAGUAGUUUGGGAAUGCUGCUCUAAAUGGGAGGUAUAUGUCUUCUAAAGCUAAAUACCGGCCAGAGACCGAUAGCGCACAAGUAGAGUGAUCGAAAGAUGAAAAGAACUUUGAAAAGAGAGUUAAAAAGUACAUGAAAUUGUUGAAAGGGAAGCGCUUGUGACCAGACUUGGGCUUGGUUGAUCAUCCGGGGUUCUCCCCGGUGCACUCUUCCGGCUCAGGCCAGCAUCAGUUCGCCCUGGGGGAUAAAGGCUUCGGGAAUGUGGCUCUCUCCGGGGAGUGUUAUAGCCCGCUGCGUAAUACCCUGUGGCGGACUGAGGUUCGCGCAUUCGCAAGGAUGCUGGCGUAAUGGUCAUCAGUGACCCGUCUUGAAACACGGACC